UUUUUUUUAACAUUGCAACCUUGGAAUAUUUUAUGUUUGUAUCUUUAGCCUCCUUCUAUACUGCCCUCAUGAACAGAUGUACCAGGGCAUGAGGGGAGGCUGUAAAACAGGAGAAAGACACAGUACCUAAGCAAAAAGUCACAGCUUGCAAACCCCACUUAAGGCCAUCUACCAACCCUUUCCCCUAGAACACAGAGCCCUGAGCAGGAUUCACCAAGCCUAUAAAAGCCCAGCACUGAGGAACGCCUCAGGCAACUUUAGGAUCUUGAUCUUGGAUUUGAUAAAUCUAGUCUUCCAUGUUUACUCACUUCAGGUUAAAAAAGCAGCCAAACCUUACCUAAUCCUCUCCACUUUAACAACAGUAGACGUAAAUAAACAUUUAUUGUUUUUUUCAAAAUAAACAAGCCAAUUAGAGGUUAUUGGAAAACACAUAUUCAAUGCAGGUGGCAAAAUCAGUUACAGAGGGAAUCUGGGCAUGUUUCCCAGGGUCUGUGGGUUCUGAACUCGCAAUGAGAUCUCAACCUCUGUCACUCUGUGGAUCUCUGAAUCUCCCCCCUGUGAUGAAAUUUGAGGAAAUUAUCCAGGUGUAAGAAAGAAAUCAAUGAAGAGGAAGCAGAAAUGGAGCAAACUUGUUAUGUCUCCUGGUUGACAAUUAACUUUUGCUAAUAAAAAAGUAAAAACCCAUCUUCAGACUCUUUAACAAUCAAGUUUAGUGUUUAUCCAAGCAGUUAAAACUCAAGGUCUACUGAAACAGGCAGCAUAGACAGGCUAAUUAAUUUCUUAUCCUAGAAAUAAUCUUCAGACAGGGGCAGAAAUGGGCAGAAUGUGAACAGAGACAUGAACAGAUAAGGGGAGGGGAAAAAAACCCUAGAAAUAAAUUCAUUAAAAAUAGGAAUUGGCGUUCCUGCUGUGGCUCAGUGGUUAAUGAGCCCGACUAGUAUCCAUGAGGUUGUGGGUUUGAUCCCUGGCCUUGCUCAGUGGGUUAAGGAUCCAGUGCUGCCGUGAGUUGUGGUGUAGGUCGCAGACGUGGCUUGGAGCCCAAGUUGCUGUUGCAGCAGCUGUGGUUGUAGGCCAGUAGCUACAGCUCUGAUUCGACCCCUAGCCUGAAAACUUCCAUAUGCUGCAGGGGCAGCCCUAAAAAAAAAAAAAAAAAAAAAAAAAAGAAAGAAAAAAGACGAAUUGCUAAAUACCACAUUCAUAAAGACUUUACCAGCCAAGGGUGAUUUAGCUCCACACCGUGGCCCAGCUUUGGGAAGCCAGAUGGAUCUUCCAGCCUCACAAAUUCUGUCCAGUUUCAGUACUGUAUUGAACUAUUAGUCCAGAGAAUUCUCUGGAGAUCAGGCUGGUUCUGGUAUCUGCUUCCUGACAAGGUCAGGUCUUCUUAGGGUAGAGAGAUGCUCACCAGUCUGAGACCUUCAGAGCCAUGCUGAGCUCACACUAAAAUGGCCUCGGAUCUGCUAGUGACCAAGUGAGCUCUUCUUCUGAAACCCCAAACUAGUAAUAAAGUAUAUUUCAGAUGACUUGGGCUUGGAUAAGAGUUCCCAGAUUCUUCACUCAAAAACCCAUACAAGUGAGUGGGUAAUUAGGGGAUCGAUGAAAUCAAGGCUCAUCAAGGAUUGACCUCUUCUCAAUUGGAGAAGAUUUUGCAAUCAGUUAAAAAUACUUGGGGGCAUCUCCUAUGAAGCACAGACAGUGCUAGAUUCUACAAGUAUGACAGACCCAUGUAAGACAGCAUUUUUUUUUUUUAAUCCCCAGGACACUGAGAUAAGAAAGAGAAGCUGUAAAAACAUAACAAUAUAUAUAUUAAAAAGUUCCAUAUAAUUCUGAAAUUGGACAUAAGAUAAAGAGCUCUGUACUCAUAUCAUUAUCUCUACCUGGUUUUGUCAUCUUUUCAAUCUUCAAGCCCAGAAAUCCUACCACACCUGCUCAAGGCCAUUCCUGGCCUCCUCCAAUUCCCACUUCCACCUCUUUCUCUAUUUCCCCCCUUCUUUGAAGGCCCAAGACACAUUCUAGCUUUCUUGCAGCAUUUACCACACUUAGGCUCCUGUUAGUGACUUCUGUGUACAUAUUGCCUCUGACAGACUAAGAUAAAACACAGACUUCAACUCUGCAUAUCUUGGCAGUAACAUUGACACUUGUUCAAUUUAAAUUGAUUGCUAAAUGAAUAGAUUUUCCAAACAAUGGACAAUGUUUUUCAUCUUACAUGCCAGUUCCCUAUGAUUAACAGUGGUUGCCUGGAGGAUAGUUCUGGGGAUUCAGAGGCUGUAACAAUGCUCUGAGGUAAAGAGUACUUUAAUCAAUUAGUGGUGUCUUCCACAGGACUGGACUGGGAGUAGUGGUUCAAAUGGACUGUAAUUUGAGAAUAUAAAUUAAGGGUUAUAAAAAGCACAGAGGAGGGAAAUCAUUUCUGAUUGGCAGUCAGAGAAGUGUAUAUGGUAAGAAUGAAAAUUAGAUCCAUCAUCAAUGAUGAGUAGGAUAACAGUAGGUGAAACACAUGAAUAAAAACAUAGGGUGGGAGAAUACAACACAUCCUAGGAAAGCAACUCUUAGACAAGCUCAACUAGAGUAAGUUCAAUGGAAGAUUUGUGUGGGAGAUAAAUGGGGAAAGGACUAAACACUGUGGAAUGCCUCAGGUAAAGGAACAGGAUAAAGAAAAGCCAAGAGACAGACAAAGGAUGGACUAAGGAGGCUAUUAGCUUUAUUUAGCUAUUGUACAAGAGUGAAGUCUGUGAGAAUGCGCUGAACUAUCAAUGAGGUAUAUCAAGGGUGGCUAGGAAGUGGCCUUGCUUAAAGUUAAUGACUAAAGUUCUGGAGUCAGAUAGUCCUGGGUGCAAAUUCCAGCUCUGACUGUGACCUCAUGUGACUUAACCCAUGUAAAUUUCAGUCUCCUUAUCUGUAAAAUACCCUUCUUACUUCAUUGUUCUGAGGGAAAUAAUGUACAUAAAAGUCAUAAUAAGCCUUCUAUAAAUAGUAGCUAUUAGGCUUGGUUAACCACAAGAAAUUUUCAAAGGAGAAAAUGUGUCUCCCUCAUUGUCUCACAAUUUGGGGAAUCUUAUAUGAAACCUGUAAAGUACUUAAGUGGCUCAGAAAACAAUUAGGUAAAUUAAAUGGCCACAGAUAUAGAACAGAAUCAGUUUAUUUCCCGGGAAUGCUUAGAGGCUUGGAAAUUACACUUUCUGUGGUUAGGCAUUUCUGGUGAUGGUGCAUUUUUUUUUUGUUAACUUGAUUCUUUACUGAAUUAUAAGUAACCAGAUAACUCUUAAGCAACAGAACAGUGGUAGAAUGAAAAUUUUAAUUUUAUAAUCUCAUUUAAGCAUCCUCCUCUAAGGGUUACCUCCUUAAUUAAGUGUAGUUUUAACCUCCUACCUCCUAAGAGCAGCGAGUGCAAACAGUAGUCUCAAUGCAGCUAUAGGAAUUAACACACGGUGCAGACCCUCACUAACAUCACUUCUGACCAGAAGUUCCAGUCCUAAAGGCACCAUGUGGCUCCAACAUGCAGACCUAGCAGAGGUCACAUGAUGCUGGUAUCAGGACCCUUCCUGGACACAUGAAGAUCAGCUAUGACAACUGUCCUGCCUAUGGACCCAUUAGGGACUCUGUGACCAAGAGGGCCCUGGAAAUAACGAUCUUAGCCUGAAUGUGGAGGGACCAGUGAGAGCAUCUUGUCUCCUCAGUGCUGGUUCAUGGUCCCCUGGUAGAGAAUGAGGCACAGCAUCUCUCCUGUUCUGAUGGAGUGUGGACUGCUGCUUAGAGCUCACAUAACUGGGGCUAGGCCUGGGCAAGGAAACACCCAGGACACACGGCAUGAAGUGUAAGCUGAGACAAGGUCUGCUCAUUCCGGAAAGUGCAGGAGUAUUUGCUGGAAAGGAAAUAAUUCGGCUUAUGGUAAUGGAACAGGCAUUCAGCAGAUAAUUUUCAAAGGUAGGGUAGUAACGUUUCUGGCAACGAGUGAGUCACUGAAACACUUCCUUUCCAUUAACAGAGGUGUUACUGUGGAGCGUACUAAUUACAACAGAGCACUCUUUGUCACAGUUUGGGGCUGUUUCCUCAGCAAGUAUAAUGAAUUAGCUCCUUCUCAAUCUAUCUGCCAUCCUAAACUAUAGCUCUGAGGUGGAUUAGUGGCUUAAUAAUAACUGUCUCCAAUACUGUCUUCUACUAUGUUUAACAUUCAAAAUAGGAACGGUCAUUGAAAACUCUUGCUACUCUAAUAGACACUGCUGCAGGAGAGUUUAAGUGGGCCACUUGAUAAUGUCUAAAAUGAGUUCAUUUUCUUUGAGAGUGCUGGAAUCCCCACGGUAUAUGUGACCUCAGGUCUCCAGACAC
rnacentral:lncRNA from 1 species